rnacentral:rRNA from 1 species
GGAAUUUUCGGCAAUGGGCAAAAGCCUGACCGAGCAAUGCCGCGUGAACGAAGAAGUAUUUCGGUAUGUAAAGUUCUUUUAUCAGGGAAGAAAAAACAAAUUGACUGAACCUGAUGAAUAAGCUCCGGCUAACUACGUGCCAGCAGCCGCGGUAAUACGUAGGGAGCGAGCGUUAUCCGGAAUUAUUGGGCGUAAAGGGUGCGUAGACGGCAAUAAAAGUUUCUUGUCAAAUAUCUUGGCUCAACCAAGUAACGCAAGAGAUACUGUAUAGCUAGAGUAUAGGAGAGGUAAGUGGAACUCCAUGUGUAGCGGUAAAAUGCGUAAAUAUAUGGAAGAACACCAGUGGCGAAGGCGGCUUACUAGCCUAAUACUGACGUUGAGGCACGAAAGCGUGGGGAGCAAACA